CCCUUAGAUGUUCUGGGCCGCACGCGUGCUACACUGAGUGGAUCAGCGGGUCAGGUUGCGCGAAAGUGUUUCCUAAUCUUUAAAUCCGCUCGUGAUGGGGAUUGACGGUUGCAAUUUUCCGUCAUGAACGAGGAAUACCUUGUAAGCGCGGGUCAUCAUCCCGCGCUGAAUACGUCCCUGCCCUUUGUACACACCGCCCGUCGCACCUACCGAUUGAAUGGUUCGGUGAAGAUCUCGGACUUCGAUAUUUAUUCUUUAUUGAGUUUAUAUUGUGGGAAGUUAUCUAAACCUCAUCAUUUAGAGGAAGGUGAAGUCGUAACA
rnacentral:rRNA from 1 species